AUACGGCUCAGUAACACGUAGUCAACAUGCCCAGGGGACGUGGAUAACCUCGGGAAACUGAGGAUAAACCGCGAUAGGUCACUACUUCUGGAAUGCGUAAUGACCCAAACCUAUAUGGCCCCUGGAUUGGACUGCGGCCGAUCAGGCUGUUGGUGAGGUAAUGGCCCACCAAACCUGUAACCGGUACGGGCUCUGAGAGGAGGAGCCCGGAGAUGGGCACUGAGACAAGGGCCCAGGCCCUAUGGGGCGCAGCAGGCGCGAAACCUCUGCAAUAGGCGAAAGCUUGACAGGGUUACUCUGAGUGAUUUCCGUUAAGGAGAUCUUUUGGCACCUCUAAAAAUGGUGCAGAAUAAGGGGUGGGCAAGUCUGGUGUCAGCCGCCGCGGUAAUACCAGCACCCCGAGUGGUCGGGACGUUUAUUGGGCCUAAAGCAUCCGUAGCCGGUUCUACAAGUCUUCCGUUAAAUCCACCUGCUCAACAGAUGGGCUGCGGAAGAUACUAUGGAGCUAGGAGGCGGGAGAGGCAAGCGGUACUCGAUGGGUAGGGGUAAAAUCCGUUGAUCCAUUGAAGACCACCAGUGGCGAAGGCGGCUUGCCAGAACGCGCUCGACGGUGAGGGAUGAAAGCUGGGGGAGCAAACCGGAUUAGAUACCCGGGUAGUCCCAGCUGUAAACGAUGCA
rnacentral:rRNA from 1 species